rnacentral:lncRNA from 1 species
GUAUCUAUAACCAUUUUAAAGUUAUAGGGAAAUCAAAGACAAAUAAAAAUCUAAAAUACGACCUUGACCUUUGACCUUGACCUUAUUUUCAUUUUUUUGGACCAAGGAUCUCAAAUCAAAAGACCCUAGGUCUCUAUCACUUAUGGUUUUCCAGUUUAAAAUACAUUUCAAAAUUUCAAAUACAAAAGGGGGAAUAACUCUCAUAUGGAAUCUCGAUACGGCUUCGGUCAAAAUAAAACAGAACAUCCUGAGGAUAUAACGAGC